GCAGUUUCUUCUAGCAUUUUGAAAAAUCAUUUCAUUGUUUUUCAGCUUUGACUUUUUUUGUGUGGGAAGUUGGCUAUUAGUCUUACUGAUGUGUGUUUGAAGCAGCCCUGGGCAGCUGUUGUUUAGAGAGAGAGCUUAUGGUGGACCCACAUGAAACAUUCUUUCACAUGGGGGAACUGCUCCCCACUACACAGAUUAUAUUUGUGAUAUAAGAAGCUGCCAAUCAAGUUGUAACUGGAUGCUUUACAGAAGGUCACCUUCAUUCUCCCUAAAGCAAGGGAUCUGCAGGAAAACUGAGCCUAACAACAAGGUAGAGCUCAGAUCUUUGAAACUGAAGCUAUGGUGAGCCUUUCUGCUCGUGAAGGUAAGAAAAUUCAGACUCUGAAGCUUCCAGCAGCUGGGGUCCAGCUUCUCAAAGAAUCCUGAUUGCAGUAGAAGACAUAGAUAGUUGCUAGGUAAUGGUUGGAGAAGACGGAUCCUAGUACCUUGAAAUCUUUGGUUCUGGUCAUUCCAAAUUACUCUUUUGCUUUUCCUAGUCAUAUGAGUCAAUACAUUUAUCUUUUUGCCUAAGGCAGCUCAAAUUGCAUGCCUGCAAUUUACAUAUAAAAGAGUCAAGACUAAUAGAGUUGCAUGUUAUAGAUACCAAGGGGAUGGUAGUUCUCUUCUUCACACACAUAUGAUCUUAUUUUGUUUCAUUUCAGGACAGGUGCAGGCAUUAUGCGUUGAAAAAAAUCAAGAGCUUCUAUAUUUUGAAUUUCACAUUUUUAAUAAAUUAGUGACCUCUCCUUUUACAUUGCCUCACAGCUUUAACUACUAAUUCAAACAAUAUUUUUUUAUACUUUGGGACUUUAAAAUUAUAGCAGGUGUGGAUACUUAAAUAUGCUAAUAUAUACUAUUGCCAGAGUGUAAAAUUGCCACUGCAUUUCUAGGUGGUGAUUUUGUAAUGAGUAUCCAGGAGUUUUGUUUAUACUCUUUUACUCAUCAGUUCCACUUCUAAUAGUCUGUCCUGUGAAAACAAGCCUGUACAUGAACAAUGGUAUAUGUGCAAUGCUAUUUAUUGUAGCUUAAUUUUCGAGGAUGAAAAAAUGAGACAGUUUAAUGAAUGUUCAAGUCUUAGGGGUUAUUUAAAUUCUGUGAAGUUUUAAAAAUAAUUUUUGGAAUAUUUGAUGACAGGAGAAAAUUCUGAUGAUAUAAUUUUCAGUGAAAAAUAAAG